CUGCGCCCCGAUCUCCUUAAUUUCUCAAGCAUCUUCAGAAAAAUGCCUGGCUAUCAUUUCAAGAUAUGAACACUGUGGGUCCUACGAAGGUGGAGUUCACGAUUUGCACUGUUUUGGCAGACUUAAAUUAACUAAUAAGGUAAAAGAAUGGGAAUGUGUGUGGCAACCUGGAAACCAUACAAUGAAAAAGUCAUACACACUGAUCAUCAC